GACGAACGCUGGCGGCGUGCUUAACACAUGCAAGUCGAACGGAAAGGCCCUGCUUUUGUGGGGUGCUCGAGUGGCGAACGGGUGAGUAACACGUGAGUAACCUGCCCUUGACUUUGGGAUAACUUCAGGCAACUGGGGCUAAUACCGGAUAGGAGCUCCUGCUGCAUGGUGGGGGUUGGACAGUUUCGGCGGUUGGGGAUGGACUCGCGGCUUAUCAGCUUGUUGGUGGGGUGGUGGCUUACCAAGGCUUUGACGGGUAGCCGGCCUGAGAGGGUGACCGGCCACAUUGGGACUGAGAUGCGGCCCAGACUCCUACGGGAGGCAGCAGUGGGGAAUAUUGCACAAUGGGCGGAAGCCUGAUGCAGCAACGCCGCGUGCGGGAUGACGGCCUUCGGGUUGUAAACCGCUUUCGCCUGUGACGAAGCGUGAGUGACGGUAAUGGGUAAAGAAGCACCGGCUAACUACGUG
rnacentral:rRNA from 1 species